rnacentral:rRNA from 1 species
GACGAACGCUGGCGGCGUGCCUAAUACAUGCAAGUAGGACGCAGUUGCGAACGGGUGAGUAAAGCGUAGGUAACUACCUAUUAGAGGGGGAUAACUAUUGGAAAAGAUAGCUCAUACCGCAUACUCGUAGAUGGACCUGCGUUGUAUUAGCUAGGUGGUAGGGUAAUGGCCUACCUAGGCAACGGUACAUAGCCGACCUGAGAGGGUGAUCCGCCACACUGGGACUGGGAAACGGCCCAGACUCCUACGGGAGGCAGCAGUAGGGGAUCUUCGGCAAUGGGGGGAACCCUGACCGAGCAACGCCGCGUGAGUGGAGAAGGUUUUCGGGUCGGAAAGCUCUGUUGUUAAGGGAGCGGUACUUAACCAGAAAGGGACGGCUAACUACGUGCCAGCAGCCGCGGUAAUUC